rnacentral:rRNA from 1 species
CUAGCUACAGGCUUAACACAUGCAAGUCGCGGGCAGCAUGUCGGUUGCUUGCAACGAUGAUGGCGACCGGCGCACGGGUGAGUAACGCGUAUCCAACCUGCCCUUCACCACGGAAUAAUCCAGUGAAAAUUGGUCUAAUACCGUAUGAGGUCAUACGAUGGCAUCAGAAUAUGACGAAAGGUUUAGCGGUGAAGGAUGGGGAUGCGUCUGAUUAGCUUGUUGGUGAGGUAACGGCUCACCAAGGCGACGAUCAGUAGGGGUUCUGAGAGGAAGGUCCCCCACAUUGGAACUGAGACACGGUCCAAACUCCUACGGGAGGCAGCAGUGAGGAAUAUUGGUCAAUGGGCGAGAGCCUGAACCAGCCAAGUAGCGUGCAGGACGACGGCCCUAUGGGUUGUAAACUGCUUUUAUAAGGGAAUAAAGUGAGUCUCGUGAGACUUUUGCAUGUACCUUAUGAAUAAGGACCGGCUAAUUCCGUG